rnacentral:lncRNA from 1 species
CUGGGGAGUACAGCUUCCAGACAGGAAGCGGAGGCUAAGCCAAAACCAAAAAGAGUCCAGAAUUUCAUUCACGUUAUUCCCUUAUGGCUCAUUUGCGUGUUACUGUCAGUUCUGCCAUGGCUGGCAACAACUCCAUCCUUACUGAGCUGGUCAGCUCCGCUCCCAGGUAGGUGAGCACGACCUCCUGGUCUUCCAGGUCGAACACUUCCCUAGCCUGAGCAACAGCACUAGCAACAGAUGUUACCCCAACCAACUUUCUAGUGUUGUGGUACACUAGAACCACCAAGGAUUC